GCGCACCAGGCGCGAAUACUUUACAAUGUGCGAAAGCACGAUAAGGGAACUCUGAGUGCCUCCUAAGGAGGCUGUUCAGGUGUCUAAAAGCACCUGAAGGAAGGGCUGGGUAAGACCGGUGCCAGCCGCCGCGGUAACACCGGCAGCCCAAGUGGUAGCCACGUUUAUUGGGUCUAAAGCGUCCGUAGCCGGCUGGGUAAGUUCCUUGGGAAAUUUGGCUGCUUAACAGUCAAGCUUUCAGGGAAUACUGCUCGGCUUGGGGACCGGGAGAGGUCAGAGGUACUCCAGGGGUAGGGGUGAAAUCCAUUAAUCCUUGGGGGACCACCGGUAGCGAAGGCGUCUGACCAGACCGGGUCCGACGGUGAGGGACGAAGGCUAGGGGCGCGAACCGGAUUAGAUACCCGCGUAG
rnacentral:rRNA from 1 species